UUUAGCAACUUAUUUAAUAUUGCUUUGGUUGAUUCAGUGAAACAAUGGAGGAAAAGGGGAAAAAAACAACAACUGGGAAGGUCUCCUGACAAAUGUGCCUUUCAGGACGUCAGCCCAGUGAAAAAUGAGAUCCUGCUGGUUUGAAACUCAGGCGAGUGGCGGGUUUGUGGCUGAUCAACCAGAUGUUCCUCAAGCGACAGUCCUGCUGUGGGCUUUCAGCUCAGCUUUGCUUAUGUCGGGAUUUCAGAUCAUUCCAGGAGAGGUGAAGCAGAAAGUUGUGGCCAAAGAAGGCCUGCUAUCGGAAUGAGAGUUGCGCUCCUGGCUCUGGCCUGAGUGGCUGUUUGGCUUUAGUUAGGUACCAGUCUCAGUACCACUGCCUUGCCCUGUUUAGAAGAGAGUAGCUCUAUAGGCCAAGCUGGUCUCUGACUUUGCAUGCUACCUUACUUCCAAAUGCUCAGAUUGCAUGGUCUGUCUCCAUGCCUGCCUACAAGAUGAACAAAAAGACUGGAAACGACCUCACUGUUCAUCAACAGAAUUAUCAAAUAGGAAGAUCCAUACAUUGGAAUUUUAUGCCGCCAUUUAAAAGAGCUGGGUCUCCCGCUGAACAUGACACUCACCAGCUCUACUCGACUGGCUGGCCAGGAGUCUCAGGACCCUGUGUUCCCACCUCCCCAGUGCUGAGAUUACAGUCAGAUGUUCUCAUACCAGCUUUUCGUGUGGGACCCGGGGAUCAAAUUCAUAUCCUCAUUCUGCAUGGAAUGCAUGUGACUGACCGAGCUAUCUCUCCAGGCCCUCUGCUUUCCUCCUUUUUAAAAAUGGCUGGAGAUACACAGCUGGGAAGUUUCAGAAAGACAACACUGCUCAGCAUAUCAAUGGAACAUGUGACUCACUGAGAGCAGCAGCUGGAAAUGCAGGAGCGGAAACAGCCUCCUUUUGCUCACUGUCAUGCUGUUCCCACCAUUACGGACUCUACCUCUCUGGAACAAAACAAAUUUCACAGAACACAGAGGCUCCAGAGUGGCUCCUCCUCCCCUGCCUUUCCCCACCACUUAACUGGAGCACCUUCAGCAUCAGGUCUCACGGACCCCUUACGUGGUCACUUCUCAAAUGAGUGGUGUUACUGGAGGUGCGGCCGCCUUGUUGGAGGAAGUGUGUCCCAGUCUCUCCCUGCUGC